rnacentral:rRNA from 1 species
AAAGUGUAGCAAUACAUGAGUACAGCGGCGCACGGGUGAGUAACACGUGGAUAACCUGCCUCAAAGUGGGGAAUAACACCGGGAAACCGGUGCUAAUACCGCAUAUUCUGAUGGAGCCUGCGGGCUUUGUCAGGAAAGGAGCAAUUCGCUAUGAGAGGGGUCCGCGGCUGAUUAGCUAGUUGGUGAGGUAAUGGCUCACCAAGGCCACGAUCAGUAGCCGGUCUGAGAGGACGGUCGGCCACACUGGAACUGAGACACGGUCCAGACUCCUACGGGAGGCAGCAGUGGGGAAUUUUUCGCAAUGGGGGCAACCCUGACGAAGCAAUGCCGCGUGGAUGAUGAAGUAUCUCGGUACGUAAAAUCCUUUCGACAGGGACGAAACCGCAAGGUUGACGGUACCUGUAGAAGAAGCCCCGGCUAACUCCGUGCCAGCAGCCGCGGUAAUACGGGGGGGGCAAGCGUUGUUCGGAAUUACUGGGCGUAAAGGGUGCGUAGGCGGCUUUCUAAGUUGGAUGUGAAAACUAUGGGCUCAACCCAUAGCCUGCAUCCAAAACUGGAAGGCUAGGGUUCUGGAGGGGAAAGCGGAAUUCCUGGUGUAGCGGUGAAAUGCGUAGAUAUCAGGAGGAACACCGGUGGCGAAGGCGGCUUUCUGGACAGACACCGACGCUGAGGCACGAAAGCUAGGGGAGCAAACAGGAUUAGAUACCCUGGUAGUCCUAGCCCUAAACGAUGGAUACUUGCUGUGAGGGGGAUUGAAACCCUUUGUGGCGAAGCUAACGCAUUAAGUAUCCCGCCUGGGGAGUACGGUCGCAAGGCUGAAACUC